CUACGGGGGGCUGCAGUAGGGAAUAUUGCGCAAUGGAGGAAACUCUGACGCAGCAACGCCGCGUGUGUGAUGAAGGCUCUCGGGUCGUAAAGCACUGUCGUGAGGGAAUAUUAUGAAGGUACCUCACAAGAAAGGACCGGCUAACUUCGUGCCAGCAGCCGCGGUAAUACGAGGGGUCCUAGCGUUGUUCGGAAUCAUUGGGCGUAAAGCGGGUGUAGGCGGCUAAGUAAGUCAGAUGUGAAAUCCCUGGGCUCAACCCAGGACGUGCAUCUGAUACUGCAUAGCUUGAGUAUCGGAGAGGUUCGUAGAAUUUCUGGUGUAGCGGUGAAAUGCGUAGAUAUCAGAAGGAAUAUCGGUGGGGAAGCCGGCGAACUGGCCGAAUACUGACGCUCAGACCCGAAAGCGUGGGGAGCAAACAGGAUUAGAUACCCUAGUAGUC
rnacentral:rRNA from 1 species